rnacentral:rRNA from 1 species
UGCGCCUUGCCAGCCCGCUCAGAAACUUAAAGGAAUUGACGGGGGCCCGCACAAGCGGUGGAGCAUGUGGUUUAAUUCGAUGAUACGCGAGGAACCUUACCUGGGCUCAAAUGUAUGUUGACGUAUUCUGAAAGGGAUACUUCUUCGGACAAUAUACAAGGUGCUGCAUGGUUGUCGUCAGCUCGUGCCGUGAGGUGUCGGGUUAAGUCCCAUAACGAGCGCAACCCCUACCUUUAGUUGCCAUCAGGUAAUGCUGGGGACUCUAAAGGAACUGCCUACGCAAGUAGUGAGGAAGGCGGGGAUGACGUCAAAUCAGCACGGCCCUUACGUCCAGGGCUACACACGUGCUACAAUGGCCGAUACAGAGGGCAGCUACCUGGUGACAGGAUGCAAAUCUCCAAAGUCGGUCUCAGUUCGGAUCGGAGUCUGCAACCCGACUCCGUGAAGUCGGAAUCGCUAGUAAUCGUGAAUCAGAAUGUCACGGUGAAUACGUUCCCGGGCCUU